GAUGAACGCUGGCGGCGUGCUUAACACAUGCAAGUCGAACGGAAAGGCUCCUGCUUGCAGGGGUACUCGGGUGGCGAACGGGUGAGUAACACGUGGGUGAUCUGCCCAGCACUUCGGGAUAAGCCUGGGAAACUGGGUCUAAUACCGGAUAGGACGAUGGUUUGGAUGCCAUUGUGGAAAGUUUUUUCGGUGUGGGAUGAGCUCGCGGCCUAUCAGCUUGUUGGUGGGGUAAUGGCCUACCAAGGCGUCGACGGGUAGCCGGCCUGAGAGGGUGUACGGCCACAUUGGGACUGAGAUACGGCCCAGACUCCUACGGGAGGCAGCAGUGGGGAAUAUUGCACAAUGGGCGCAAGCCUGAGGCAGCGACGCCGCGUGGGGGAUGACGGCCUUCGGGUUGUAAACUCCUUUCGCUAGGGACGAAGCGCAAGUGACGGUACCUGGAGAAGAAGCACCGGCUAACUACGU
rnacentral:rRNA from 1 species